rnacentral:misc_RNA from 1 species
UUAUCUUUGGAGCUUUUCUUAUUAGUUUUGUGUGGUGCGAUUUCCAUUGUCAAGACUGUCAAUUCAGUAGGUCUUAGAGGAACUUUUUCUAACAAUUUCUUGAAAUUCAGACUUGAGUAUUAGAUUGUUAUCUCUGCAAAUAUGCUAUUUUCUCUGCGAACCAUGAUUUAUAUGCUCCAUUUUAUUAUUUUUUUAAGUGUGAACCAUCCAAUUAAUCAUCACUGAUUAUUUUGUUGAGGUAGGGGUAGGCGUAUGAUGCGUGUAUGAUUAAACUUUUUCUGAUGUUGAAUGUAUGAAAGGAAUUGGAAGUAGAAAACCAUGUAUGUUGCUACAUGCUCAUCGUGUAGUGUUGUCCCUUUUGGCUCUAUUUGAAUAAAUAUUUUCUUUUUCUAGAUAAAGAAAAAAAAAAAA